rnacentral:rRNA from 1 species
AGAGUUUGAUCCUGGCUCAGGACGAACGCUGGCGGCGUGCUUAACACAUGCAAGUCGAACGAUGAACCACCUUCGGGUGGGGAUUAGUGGCGAACGGGUGAGUAACACGUGGGCAAUCUGCCCUGCACUCUGGGACAAGCCCUGGAAACGGGGUCUAAUACCGGAUACUGACCCUCGCAGGCAUCUGCGAGGUUCGAAAGCUCCGGCGGUGCAGGAUGAGCCCGCGGCCUAUCAGCUAGUUGGUGAGGUAAUGGCUCACCAAGGCGACGACGGGUAGCCGGCCUGAGAGGGCGACCGGCCACACUGGGACUGAGACACGGCCCAGACUCCUACGGGAGGCAGCAGUGGGGAAUAUUGCACAAUGGGCGAAAGCCUGAUGCAGCGACGCCGCGUGAGGGAUGACGGCCUUCGGGUUGUAAACCUCUUUCAGCAGGGAAGAAGCGAAAGUGACGGUACCUGCAGAAGAAGCGCCGGCUAACUACGUGCCAGCAGCCGCGGUAAUACGUAGGGCGCAAGCGUUGUCCGGAAUUAUUGGGCGUAAAGAGCUCGUAGGCGGCUUGUCACGUCGGUUGUGAAAGCCCGGGGCUUAACCCCGGGUCUGCAGUCGAUACGGGCAGGCUAGAGUUCGGUAGGGGAGAUCGGAAUUCCUGGUGUAGCGGUGAAAUGCGCAGAUAUCAGGAGGAACACCGGUGGCGAAGGCGGAUCUCUGGGCCGAUACUGACGCUGAGGAGCGAAAGCGUGGGGAGCGAACAGGAUUAGAUACCCUGGUAGUCCACGCCGUAAACGGUGGGCACUAGGUGUGGGCAACAUUCCACGUUGUCCGUGCCGCAGCUAACGCAUUAAGUGCCCCGCCUGGGGAGUACGGCCGCAAGGCUAAAACUCAAAGGAAUUGACGG